GAUGAACGCUGGCGGCGUGCCUAAUACAUGCAAGUCGAGCGAACGGACGAGAAGCUUGCUUCUCUGAUGUUAGCGGCGGACGGGUGAGUAACACGUGGAUAACCUACCUAUAAGACUGGGAUAACUUCGGGAAACCGUAGCUAAUACCGGAUAAUAUUUUGAACCGCAUGGUUCAAAAGUGAAAGACGGUCUUGCUGUCACUUAUAGAUGGAUCCGCGCUGCAUUAGCUAGUUGGUAAGGUAACGGCUUACCAAGGCAACGAUGCAUAGCCGACCUGAGAGGGUGAUCGGCCACACUGGAACUGAGACACGGUCCAGACUCCUACGGGAGGCAGCAGUAGGGAAUCUUCCGCAAUGGGCGAAAGCCUGACGGAGCAACGCCGCGUGAGUGAUGAAGGUCUUCGGAUCGUAAACUCUGUUAUUAGGGAAGAACAUAUGUGUAAGUAACUGUGCACAUCUUGACGGUACCUAAUCAGAAAGCCACGGCUAACUACGUG
rnacentral:rRNA from 1 species